rnacentral:rRNA from 1 species
GCUCGAGUGGCGAACGGGUGAGUAACACGUGAGUAACCUGCCCUUGACUUUGGGAUAACUUCAGGAAACUGAGGCUAAUACCGGAUAGGAGCUCCUGCUGCAUGGUGGGGGUUGGAAAGUUUCGGCGGUUGGGGAUGGACUCGCGGCUUAUCAGCUUGUUGGUGGGGUAGUGGCUUACCAAGGCUUUGACGGGUAGCCGGCCUGAGAGGGUGACCGGCCACAUUGGGACUGAGAUACGGCCCAG